rnacentral:rRNA from 1 species
CCUACGGGAGGCAGCAGUGAGGAAUAUUGGUCAAUGGACGCAAGUCUGAACCAGCCAUGCCGCGUGCAGGAAGACGGCUCUAUGAGUUGUAAACUGCUUUUGUACGAGGGUAAACGCAGAUACGCGUAUCUGUCUGAAAGUAUCGUACGAAUAAGGAUCGGCUAACUCCGUGCCAGCAGCCGCGGUAAUACGGAGGAUUCAAGCGUUAUCCGGAUUUAUUGGGUUUAAAGGGUGCGUAGGCGGUCGGAUAAGUUAGAGGUGAAAUCCCGAGGCUCAACUUCGGAAUUGCCUCUGAUACUGUUAGGCUAGAGAGUAGGUGCGGUAGGCGGAAUGUAUGGUGUAGCGGUGAAAUGCUUAGAGAUCAUACAGAACACCGAUUGCGAAGGCAGCUUACCAAGCUACGUCUGACGUUGAGGCACGAAAGCGUGGGGAGCAAACAGGAUUAGAUACCCCAGUAGUC